rnacentral:ncRNA from 1 species
GAUUGGCUAUACUUUCAUAUUACCCUCUCCUCAUAACCGGUCGCGGCUG